GAUUGUGGUUGGCUUUAUUGGUUGCGGAGAAAUCGCUCAAACAAUUAUUAAGGGAAUUUUGAGGAGCGGUUUAUUACCUGCCGAGAGACUCAAGGCGUCAACAUCUUCUCCUCAAACAAGUAGCAAAGCAACUAACCUUGGUAUUACGUACGCUUCUAAUAAUGAAAUCAAAUCGAGUUGCAAUGUGAUAGUUCUUUGUGUCCGUCCAUUUGAAAUACUGAACGUAUUGGACGGCAUUUCCCAGACUGCUGUGGUAAUCUCGACUGCAGCAGGAAUAACAAUUGAAGCAAUG